rnacentral:rRNA from 1 species
UCGGGAAUUUUGGGCAAUGGGCGAAAGCCUGACCCAGCAACGCCGCGUGAAGGAUGAAGUAUUUCGGUAUGUAAACUUCGUAAGAAUAGGAAGAAUAAAUGACGGUACUAUUUGUAAGGUCCGGCUAACUACAUGCCAGCAGCCGCGGUAAUACGUAGGGACCAAGCGUUGUUCGGAUUUACUGGGCGUAAAGGGCGCGUAGGCGGUGUGUCAAGUCAGUUGUGAAAUCUCCGAGCUUAACUCGGAACGGUCAACUGAUACUGUCACACUAGAGUACAGAAGGGGCAAUCGGAAUUCUUGGUGUAGCGGUGAAAUGCGUAGAUAUCAAGAGGAACACCUGAGGCGAAGGCGGGUUGCUGGGCUGAUACUGACGCUGAGGCGCGAAAGCUAGGGUAGCAAACGGGGAUUAGAU